GUGUUCCCUAUCAGAGCCGUGGAAGACGACCACGUUGAUAGGCCGGGUGUGGAAGUGCGGCAACGCAUGAAGCUUACCGGUACUAAUAGCUCGAUCGGCUUGAUCGUUCUCAUU
rnacentral:rRNA from 1 species